GUCAUACUCCCUUCCUCUCAAAAUUCUUGUCUUAGGUUUGUCUAGAUAUGAAUGUAUCUAGUCACGUUUUUCCUUAAAUUUAGUAUUUAGAUACAUUCAUUUCUAGACAAAUCUAAGACAAGAAUUUUGGGACGGAGGGAGUAUUUG
rnacentral:pre_miRNA from 1 species